rnacentral:rRNA from 1 species
AUUGAACGCUGGCGGCAUGCCUUACACAUGCAAGUCGAACGGUAACAGGUCUUCGGAUGCUGACGAGUGGCGAACGGGUGAGUAAUACAUCGGAACGUGCCCGAUCGUGGGGGAUAACGCAGCGAAAGCUGUGCUAAUACCGCAUACGAUCUACGGAUGAAAGCGGGGGAUCGCAAGACCUCGCGCGGACGGAGCGGCCGAUGGCAGAUUAGGUAGUUGGUGGGAUAAAAGCUUACCAAGCCGACGAUCUGUAGCUGGUCUGAGAGGACGACCAGCUACACUGGGACUGAGACACGGCCCAGACUCCUACGGGAGGCAGCAGUGGGGAAUUUUGGACAAAGGGCGCAAGCCUGAUCCAGCCAUGCCGCGUGCAGGAUGAAGGCCUUCGGGUUGUAAACUGCUUUUGUACGGAACGAAAAAGCUCUCUCUAAUACAGGGGGUGAAUGACGGUACCGUAAGAAUAAGCACCGGCUAACUACGUG